rnacentral:misc_RNA from 1 species
AGGGAUUUUACCCUCAUUACGAUAGCCAAUGAUGAUGGAGGUGGCAAUCAAUCUCAUGACGGUGAUCACUGCAUCUUUUCGCAACAUAGGACGUCAGUUGCAAGAGAUACAAGAGCAAUUGCAUGUUGUAUUCGGAGUUUGUCAUGUUGAGAAUAAAAGCCAUAAGUUGAAUCAAGCUAGAGUAGGUAGCCACAGUAGAUUCAAUUAUGAUAUAGUUCUCUUCAAUUUUAGAAGAACAAUUG